GAGUUUGAUCAUGGCUCAGAUUGAACGCUGGCGGCAUGCCUUACACAUGCAAGUCGAACGGCAGCAUGAUCUAGCUUGCUAGAUUGAUGGCGAGUGGCGAACGGGUGAGUAAUACAUCGGAACGUGCCCUGUAGUGGGGGAUAACUAGUCGAAAGAUUAGCUAAUACCGCAUACGACCUGAGGGUGAAAGUGGGGGACCGCAAGGCCUCAUGCUAUAGGAGCGGCCGAUGUCUGAUUAGCUAGUUGGUGGGGUAAAGGCCCACCAAGGCGACGAUCAGUAGCUGGUCUGAGAGGACGAUCAGCCACACUGGGACUGAGACACGGCCCAGACUCCUACGGGAGGCAGCAGUGGGGAAUUUUGGACAAUGGGGGCAACCCUGAUCCAGCAAUGCCGCGUGUGUGAAGAAGGCCUUCGGGUUGUAAAGCACUUUUGUCCGGAAAGAAAUCGCACUUACUAAUAUUAGGUGUGGAUGACGGUACCGGAAGAAUAAGGACCGGCUAACUACGUGCCAGCAGCCGCGGUAAUACGUAGGGUCCAAGCGUUAAUCGGAAUUACUGGGCGUAAAGCGUGCGCAGGCGGUUGUGCAAGACCGAUGUGAAAUCCCCGGGCUUAACCUGGGAAUUGCAUUGGUGACUGCACGGCUAGAGUGUGUCAGAGGGGGGUAGAAUUCCACGUGUAGCAGUGAAAUGCGUAGAGAUGUGGAGGAAUACCGAUGGCGAAGGCAGCCCCCUGGGAUAACACUGACGCUCAUGCACGAAAGCGUGGGGAGCAAACAGGAUUAGAUACCCUGGUAGUCCACGCCCUAAACGAUGUCAACUAGUUGUUGGGGAUUCAUUUCCUUAGUAACGUAGCUAACGCGUGAAGUUGACCGCCUGGGGAGUACGGUCGCAAGAUUAAAACUCAAAGGAAUUGACGGGGACCCGCACAAGCGGUGGAUGAUGUGGAUUAAUUCGAUGCAACGCGAAAAACCUUACUUACCCUUGACAUGCCACUAACGAAGCAGAGAUGCAUUAGGUGCUCGAAAGAGAAAGUGGACACAGGUGCUGCAUGGCUGUCGUCAGCUCGUGUCGUGAGAUGUUGGGUUAAGUCCCGCAACGAGCGCAACCCUUGUCUCUAGUUGCUACGAAAGGGCACUCUAGAGAGACUGCCGGUGACAAACCGGAGGAAGGUGGGGAUGACGUCAAGUCCUCAUGGCCCUUAUGGGUAGGGCUUCACACGUCAUACAAUGGUGCAUACAGAGGGUUGCCAAGCCGCGAGGUGGAGCUAAUCCCAGAAAAUGCAUCGUAGUCCGGAUCGUAGUCUGCAACUCGACUACGUGAAGCUGGAAUCGCUAGUAAUCGCGGAUCAGCAUGCCGCGGUGAAUACGU
rnacentral:rRNA from 1 species